rnacentral:lncRNA from 1 species
AGACCUGUUGCCAAGGCAACAGGCACCAUAUUCCCUACAUCCACUUGGCUCACCUCAUUCUCCACAUAAAUAAGAAAAACACCCCUCCCUCCCUCCCUCUCCCCCUCUUCUCUUUCUGCCACCACCUUCUCUCUCUUUCCCCAAUAAAACCUCUUCCACAUAGAACUGCCUUGGCUUAGUGUGCUAUUAGGCUGCACACAAGCCUGGGGUAUGGAAACCACAUCCAAAGAGGUAAGACUCACAAAGGCGGUGUGUGUUAAACUGCCCUGUGGGAUCCAAGAUGGCGGCAACAAGCCAAGUGCGACUAACCUGUUCCCGAUGUGAUUUCUUUGAGUAACCUUGGUUGUCCUGUAGACGAGACUGGCCUCAAACUCAGUAAAGGGGAGGCCCCAUGGUCAGUGGAGGUGGGCAACGCAAAAAGAACCCAGUGGCUUGCUUCCUGUACAGGGACCACCAGAAUUAAUUUCAACCAUACCUACAUAUUUCUUGGUGAUGGGCAAAGAAAAACAUUUGGAAGAAUUAGUAUGAUUCACCAUAUCUGCAAGGCCCCUGGACAUGUUUCUUGGGGGAGGGGAGAACACUUUUAUCAAAUUUCUUUAUCAAACCUUUAGGUCUUUAAGCUAUGACUCUCAAUGACUAUAUGGCUAUGUUAUGUUCCAAAGCAUCAAAAACUCUAAAAGUCCUUCUGUCAAAUAUCUGAGAUGGAACUUCUUGGUGCCUGAUAUAUAAAUCCAACAUCCUUAAAUAAAACAUCUUCACAGCUACCCACAGA